AUGGAGAGUUUGAUCCUGGCUCAGGAUGAACGCUGGCGGUAUGCUUAACACAUGCAAGUCGUACGAACAACUUAAUCUUCGGGUUUUUUUGUUAGUGGCGGACGGGUGAGUAACGCGUAAGAAUCUACCUUUAGGAAGGGGACAACAGUUGGAAACGACUGCUAAUUCCCUAUAUGCUGAGGAGUAAAACGGUAUUAACCGCCUAAAGAUGAGCUUGCGUCUGAUUAGCUAGUUGGUAAGGUAAUGGCUUCCCAAGGCGAUGAUCAGUAGCUGGUCUGAGAGGAUGAUCAGCCACACUGGGACUGAGACACGGCCCAGACUCCUACGGGAGGCAGCAGUGGGGAAUAUUGCGCAAUGGGCGAAAGCCUGACGCAGCGACGCCGCGUGAGGGACGAAGGCCUUCGGGUUGUAAACCUCUUUCAGCAGGGACGAAGCGAAAGUGACGGUACCUGCAGAAGAAGCACCGGCCAACUACGUGCCAGCAGGCGCGGUAAUACGGGGGAUGCAAG
rnacentral:rRNA from 1 species